UACCGUCGCUGCAGGCGCUCAUUUCUAAUUAUACAGUUAAAUGGGUCUAUUUAAUCCACCUUAUACACAUGACCCACACUUGUGACAGAUCAACAAGGUGGCACACACCAAGUUGGGAAAUCAAUUUGAACGAGUAUCGACCGGAUUAUUUUGCGGUAAACGGGGUUUAGUUCUGGUAAUAUGAUCGCGGUCCACGGGUUGUUCCUCAGGCCGGUUACGCAACAAGUCUGGGAUAGCACAACCGGGUGGGGCCACGACAGCUAACGGGUCUGACUCAUGCCCGAGAAAUGCAACGUUUCAUUGGCACCCGGGCAUUUUCUCCUGCGGAAGUGUUCCUCACUAUGCUCUGCGAAUUUGAUCAUCAAUGUAAAUGGACAUUUUAGUGAAAUAAACCUGUCUGUAGCCCAAUUCGACGGAACAUGGCGGAGGCGGUCAAUUCAGGAGGCGACUGUUGCUCUGUUCCGCCUGACGUGAGCGACACGUUUCCCAGCGAGGAAUACGAGUGCAAAAUAUGUUACAACUACUUCGACCUGGACCUCCACACCCCCAAACUGCUUAAAUGUUCCCACACCUUCUGCCACGAGUGUCUUGACACUCUGCACUCCCGGGAGGGUCGAGGGUGGAGAAUCGGCUGCCCCGUGUGUCGCCACCGAACUCCGGUACCGGAAUAUCGGGUUCACAACCUCCCCGACAACACCGCAGUGACCGAAGCGCUCCCGCUCAAAACGCGUGAGCCUGUGCAGUCGUCAAAUACAGACGUCUCUUCAGUCCCCUCCCCAGAGAGCAACGACAGCUGUCAGACUUGCAAACAAGUUGCUUUUGCGACCGGCUGCGGGUGCGCCAUCUUUUCUUUCCUGUCCAUGGUGGUGCUCUUAUUUCUGGGCCUCAUCUUUUUGCAUAACUUCAAUAACACUAGGUCGGCCGUCGGCCCUGUCUGUUUGUUUGUUGCCAGUGUCCUCGCCCUGCUCUCGCUCAUUCUCACGUGGUUAAUGUGCGUGUUGAAGUACCGACCUGAAACUGAAGUAAGCAAUUUCAGCUCCCUCACUCAUAUAAUGUGAUCCUCUGGCUGCAGAGCUAAGACACACAAACCUAGCCUGGUCAGUAUAAUAAAAGGGAAAUCUGUUUAUUUAUUUCAAUGUGUUAAAGACGCCCUUAUAGAUGCCUCAGUCAGUAUUUGUGAACUCUAACUAAUAAAGUCGCCAUGAACUUUGUGGAGCCUAUCACACACAGGAGCUCUCUGUGUGAAUCGCAGUCUUGAGGUCAAGUAGGCUCCCCAGUUUAAACAUGUUUUCUCCAUGUCAUGCACCUUUUGAACCCUCUAUAGGCCUUGAUGAUUACAUGUCACAGUAGGCAAAAUCACAGGUGUAAAGUAAAUGAUAAAAAUCAAUGAUGGCUGAAUUCCAUUUAGCUGCUUCAGUUUCAGGGUCCUGGUAUUGUGCAUGCUGGCUCGCUGUCACUGUCAUGACUUACUGGGACACUUGAAUAUAACAGCACCAUCGUUAAUGUUAUUAGUAACACCUGUGCUUUUCCUUAAUGACUCAAAAUGUCUGCUGUGAAAAGGGGCCUAUUUUGACCUAAAUGGAUGGCUGUAUGAGCAUUGCGCCUCAAGCAAACCUUGUAUGUGCUAUGUGUAUUCCAUAAAACAUUUCAAAUGCUUACAUAGAAGGCGUAAAAUCAUCGAAAAGGCACUUUAACUGGUCUUGCUAAUGGAAACAUUAGCAGACACUGACUUGAAUAAUAGGAAUAUUGGCCAUUAGGGCAGUGCCCUCCCCUAAUCUCCCACAUUUGUUUCCUCCACUGAUAUUAUUUAUAUGACAGAUUUCCUACGGUGCUUGGAAGCUGCUGUGCAAGCAGGCACAUGCGUGUACUGCAUGUAUGAGUCAAGCUGUUGGUAUGAUACUGAUUUAUUAUAAUCCUCUCGUGCCACCACCAUUUCUAACAACAUUACCUAUUGUGCCAAUGACAGAACCUGCUUACCCCAUAACCACCUCUGUGUGAUUACAUUGACUCCCCGUGGUGGACCAGGUCAGCAGGGGAUCCCAGGCCAAUGACCCUGAGGGGACGUGAGCCUUCACAAGAUGAGAGAAAUAACUUUGGGGUAGGGGGCCAAAAUAAGUAGUGUUGUAAAGUAGUGAGACAAUGGAAGUGCAGAUGACCUCCUAGGGGUCUUAAAUCAUCUGAUGGACUUAAGUUUGCUUUCCCAAGUCAUAUAAACUGCAAGAAGAUAUAACUUCCACUAACGACUUGGUCCACGCCCAGGUCUUAGGUUACAGGGAAGUGUGAAAUAAAAGAAUGCUUAAUUGAAUUUGUUUUAUAUAAAUAAUCUCUUCCAUCAUUUUCUAUGUUUAAGAAAAUUAGAAUGAAAUUCACACUGCUGUCAAUUCACUAGGUUUGGGUUAUUAGAUCAGUUAUGAUUCAAGAAGAUGUCUCCAUUUAGUUUAGCUAUCUGCUGAAUCCCAAUAACACAGUGGGUAUUUAUCUCCACUUAGUGUUGUUUUAAGAGGCGACACUGGUCUCAGGAGUUAAAAUCCAUCUCUUUCAGGUCACUCAAAGGGACUCCUUCAUUUGGUCAUCCAGUCGUGUGCAGAAGUCUCUUUGAGAGCAGCAAGAACUUAAAAUAAGCAUAUCAUUAAGUAAAUACCCUGACAAGUCACAUGACACCGGUCAGCGGUUGUCAUAGGUGGAUCCCGAGGGAACAGCCAUUAGCCACUGUGCACGCUCUCAAGAAAGACGGGGUCACCCAGAAAGCAGACAGUCCCAGGAUACACUUCCUCUCUUCCUGUGUCUUGCCUUUAAGUGUGUGCAAAGUGUGUCCUUGUGUCAUUAUCAGAUUGGACACACGUAUUUCACAGAGGAGAUGAAAGUGUUCCUUUUGCUCAUAACAUCUGCCUUCUGAUGGUUUGUGUCCCAACAAGAUGACCUCAAAGAAAUAGCCUGAGGAGAGCGAUUAUCACCACUCUGUAGCGCACUCUGGCUCAUCAUGUGAUCACAUGCUUGUGUGGAUGUUUGUGCCCAAAUGUGUGUUCAUGACAAGGAAAAGGUGUGAAUUUGUUUGCGUGCAUGUGUUUGUCAGAAUAUGUCUGUACAGACAUAUGGCCUAACAAGCAUGCGAACACUCGAAAGACCUGUGAGAAGGGAUCAAUGUCCAGGGUCAAAGUGUCAAACAUGGCUUACCUCGCCAUUUCACUUUCAUCAUGCCACUCUUCAGAUGUCAAAGACUUCCCUCUGUCCUGGACACUCACAUACAAACACUGUUGGAUCCUCUGUCUGUCAAAUUGAAACAAAUAGCAUUUAGAAAGAGUGCAGUGCAAAGCUCUAGUUAAAUAGCAGUAGCUGCAAAUGCUGUGAAACAUUGAAUUGGACAAUUGUUAUGCAAUUCUCCAUGUAUACUGUAGCUGUCCCUCCCUAUCAAAUAAACAUGAAAUGAAAUAAA